GUAUUAAGUUUAAAGGCAUUCAAGCCCAACAACAAACAUUCUGAGACAUACUGGUAGGGGUAUAUAUAUAAAAACAUAGACCGGAAGUACAAGGAAAGCUGGCUUUGCGCACAGCAGUCCUCAAACCGAGUUUCCUCGAGAGUUUAUCCAGGUCUACAGAAGGUGCACAGGUGGUAAAAAGUUUGGUGUUAGGCGUGCACAUGCUCCUGAGAGCCAGCAACAACCCAACCAAGCUUAUUCAAUAAUGAUCCUUCCGCAGGUUCACCUACGGAAA
rnacentral:misc_RNA from 1 species